CCUCCAGAGAUGCUGCCUGUCCCGCUGAGUUACUCCAGCACUCUGUGUCUCCAAUGUUUGUGUCGGGGCGUGGGUUGGUCUUUGUGACGGGACAUCCUGGAGACCUUUGUUGAGCGUCGGGGAGGUUCUCGGACGAUGUCGCCCACAAGGCGAGAAUGUUUCUCAUCCAGUGCCGAGGUCAAGAUGUCCCAGAAUAGUCUGGCCUCUGUGUUUCUCCUUCUCGCCGUGUUGGCUCACAGGGGCUGCGCUUGUAUCAACUGUGACCGCCUGCUCUGGUCCAACUUCCUGGACCUGAUCAACCGCUGUCUGAUCGUGGCUUCUGAGGACGAAUGUUCCUCUCAGCUGGACUUACACCAAGGACUUCAAAAUGGUCUAUACAGAGGCUAUGGUUUAUACCUUUCACAAGAACAUGGAUUUGAUUUACCCCUUCAUGUUUUCACUUGAUUAUGAACCCCUGGAUAUGUUACAUGCCUUUCUCCAAGUUAAAUUAAAAUCAGCUGUCUGUGGGGACGAAUGCAGUGAGUAACAACUGUUUCUGUACCAGCCUCGAAAAUUAGCAGUUAGAUUCACACUUGUACCAGUUGUCAAACUUGCCUGGCCCCUA